AUACUUACCUGGCAGGGGAGAUACCAUGAUCACACAGGUGGUUUUCCCAGAGUGAGGCUCACCCAUUGCACUUGGGGUGUGUUGAUCCCUGCGAUUUUCCCAAAUGCGGGAAACUCGACUGUAUAAUUUUGUUGGGGGGGGGACUGCGUUCGCGCUUUCCCCUG
ensembl:snRNA U1 U1 spliceosomal RNA